UACGUAGGGUGCAAGCGUUAAUCGGAAUUACUGGGCGUAAAGCGUGCGCAGGCGGUUGUGCAAGACAGAUGUGAAAUCCCCGGGCUUAACCUGGGAAUGGCAUUUGUGACUGCACGGCUAGAGUGUGUCAGAGGGGGGUAGAAUUCCACGUGUAGCAGUGAAAUGCGUAGAUAUGUGGAGGAAUACCGAUGGCGAAGGCAGCCCCCUGGGAUAACACUGACGCUGAGAAGCGAAAGCAUGGGGAGCGAACAGG
rnacentral:rRNA from 1 species